UGUUCUUUCUCAGUCUUACACCUUGGGCUGCUUGGCUUGAACCAGUCUGACCCACUUCUGAGACACCUUUCAGCCUGCUGUAGAGAGCUGGACUGUUCACGCACGUCCCUAUUUGUGGAUGUGGACUCAGGCGUGUGCCUAAUGUUCCGAGAUGAAUAGGGGCUGAAAUCCCCAUGAAAGGUGUAAGCGUCUCGACAGGAUGAUUUGAAAAGCCACCAUGAGCGCUGAGGUACAAAGACACACGUUAGGAACAGCUCCUCAGCACAACGCUCGGGCUUCCAGCAACCACCUCUCUGAGGGGAAAACUCAGAUUGAUGAGUGACCCCAGCCUCUCUCAGCCUCUCCGGGCCCUGCCCUCGCCCCGGCGGACUGUCCCCGCCCCCCCAUGGAGAACUGGGAGGGGCAGGGGGUGGCCCAGAGGCUUCUAGGAGCUAGCACUGGAGGAGAUUUCUCAGGGUGCUGGAGGUAAGGGAGGCUCAAGGUGAGUGAACGAGGUGGGCAGGAAAGGUGGGAACUCUAAACAAGCUCUAAAUAGUCCCCUUCGUGGUAUGCAAGAUAGGCAAAUAAAGAUCUUGGAUUCUUUUGAGAUAUGCAGCAAUGCUACCCCACAGGAUGGGAUAAAGGACUGAGUAUAGCCCUUCUCAUGGGCUAAGCUCCAGGGAGUGGCGGUGGCCCUGGCUACGAGGUGGCAGCUUUCUGCAACCUUUAGAAGUCUCUGAGAGAGCAGGCCUGAUCCCAGGUUGGAGUUUUCUGAGAACUGUGUCUGGUCCUCACUUGCCCCAUCCUUGAUGUGGCCUGGAGCCCAAGGGGGCCUGACGGGCUUUUCUGCCAUGACCCAGAGCAGUGUGCUAGGGGUUCUGCCCUCAACUCACUCCUUGGAGCACAGUAAAACAAUUCUUCACCACAUUUUUAAACGAGAUACCCCACCCUCAAUAUGCAGAUUUUUUUUCAAAGUUAAAAAAAAUACUCAUUUUUUUACUAUAUUUACCUUUUUUUUUUUUUUUCCUAUGUUGGCCCUGCAGAACAUAGAUCCCCAUAACUGGGAUGCCCUCCCUGGAAGGAGGUGAGGAAUUAACAGCAGAGCUAUUACUCGUGUGCUACCCUUCGGCCCAGAGGGGACAUUCCUGUUCUACCUCAGGAUUGGGAUGCAUUUCCAUUUUCCUGAGCCAGCCAUCUGCUCCCCCACCUCCCCUUGUGACCAUUAACACUAGUAUGUAGCUAGGGACAGUAAAGAUAUGGGCUACAGCUUUGGGGUCUGUAUAUGGAUGGAGCCACUGUCCUGGCCUCCUGAACACUGUGUUUCUCAACAAGACGUGCCUUGAUGAAGUCAUCUGCCAGCGGUGGGUAAACCUGAACUAGUCUUCUGGCUCCACAGAGUCAGAGAAGGGAGUGUUCUCCCAUGGAGGGAUUGGGUUUCAGAUCAAUUAGUCCCAUUUCCCAAAAGAGCACCUAAUUGGUCAUGUGCCAUAGUGUAUGGACAGCAGAAGAAGCUAGGAACCCUACAGAAGGGCACCCCACCAUGGUUCUAAGCGGGAUUGGGCAGGAGUAAAUGUGGUACCACCCCUAACUUUCCCAGCCAUCUGGCUCAUUUGGGUAUCAAAUCCAACAAUGACAGAUACUGAGAGAAACCCAUCUUCUUUGACACUGUAGUAUUUAUGUUACCUUCUGAGGUAGGCAGAAUAAGGGCCUCCCAAACAUGUCCCAAAGAUGUCUACAUCCAACCUCUGGAAUCUGUGACUAUGUUACCUUAUGUGGCAAAAAAGACCUUGCAGAUGUGAUUAAGAAUCUGAACGUUGGGAAGAUUACCCUGGAUUAUGCAGGUGGACCCAAUGUAAUCACAAGGGUCCUUAAUGAAAGAAGAAGUCAAGAGUCAGAGGAGAUGUAACAACACAACAGUGUCAGAGUAAUGCAGUAUGAAAAAGACUUAACUAGCCAGUGCUGGCUUUGAAGAUGGAAGGGGACCACAAGCCAGGGAAUACAGAAGCCUGCAGAAGCCAGAAAAGGCAAGGAAAUGGAUUCUUCUCUGGAGCCUCUGGAAAGAAUGCAGCCCUCUUGACACCUUAAUUUAGCUUCAUGAGACCCAGUCCAGACACCUGACUUCCAAAAUUGGUGUGUGCCUGGAAGAGGUGCAGUGUCAACAUCCAUCUGAGAACAGGGAAGGCAGAAGGCAUGUGCUCUCUGGAACCUGCUGUGUGCCAGGCCUUACACCACCACACACAAACAGGUACUUUUGAUACUGAAUGCAAAUUUUACACUGGUAACUAAUUGCAACCACACAACUCUACCAACACACCAAAUGAUCUUAAACACCACUUCGUUUGAACAACGCUUGAUGGACAUUUUGUUUCACAGGUCAGAGUGAAUCAGAAAGCAAACUGAUGAUGUGUCUUGAAAGCUCUCAGCUCUAUAUGAGAUUUAACCAAACCUAGUCAAAUCCUUCAAGAGUUAUCCUGAAACGGGCAGGCUAAAAAAAAAUGCACCUACCAAGGUAAAAACACUUCAGUUAUAGAAAAAAACAUGGAGAAGUAGAGAGUAUUUGCUUUCCAGAACCCUGUGAGAAGGUACCAAAGGGGCGGGGAGGGGGUAUACUACCUGCCAAGAGGUUAGUAGGAUACAAACACAGGAAAGCUACUCAAUUAUUAACAUUAAUGGAAAGCAAAUAUUGAUAAUAUAAAAUAAUGGGUAAUUUCAGUUAUUUUAUCUGGCCUUGUAUUCCAAAUAUGAGAGACACUUAUCUUCUCCCCAAGUUCCAGUGGGUAAAGAAUUUUCAGUAUGUGGAAGAAUAUAAGCCUAUAGAAGGAGACAGAUAAAUAACAUAUAUAAAUAAUAUAACAAAUUGAUGUGGUCUGGAAGAAAUGCUUAAGGGAAGAGGCACAGGUGUUAAAAUGUAGUUUUUUAGAGGCAAAGAAGCCUUGGUUAACAUAAACAGAACACCACAGGGGCAAAAUGUGGUGUACAGGACAGAACUUUAGCUUUAGAAAUACAUAGCCACUGGUUUUGUCUCUUACUGUCAAUAUAGCCUGGGGAAAAUGGCUUAAAUUCUCUGAAUGUUCAGUUUUCUCAUUUAUCGUUAAAGUGUGAGUCAUUCAUUCUUUCAAUAAGUAUUAACUGAGUACCUGCCAUGUGCCAAGCACUGUUUUAGGCAGUGGAGAUGCACGCCCUGAACAACUGAUGGGUAAUCACUGCCAAAAUCA